GUUCUGGGAGCUCGCAGGCCGCGGCGGCGCCUGAGGGAGCUCGGCCGCCAUUUUGUGCCUCUCGCUCGGUCCGGGGCGGCCGCGCGGGCGCUGCGGCUCUGAGGGAGCGCUCGGCUCUCUUGCUUUGUAGGUCGGGGCGACGCCGCCAUGGGCCGUAAGAAGAAGAAGCAGCUGAAGCCUUGGUGCUGGUACUGUAAUAGGGAUUUUGAUGAUGAGAAAAUCCUUAUACAGCAUCAGAAAGCCAAGCACUUUAAAUGCCAUAUAUGUCAUAAGAAACUGUAUACAGGACCUGGUUUAGCUAUACACUGCAUGCAGGUACAUAAAGAAACAAUAGAUGCUGUUCCAAAUGCUAUUCCCGGAAGAACAGACAUUGAACUGGAAAUCUAUGGAAUGGAAGGCAUUCCAGAAAAAGACAUGGAGGAACGGAGGAGGUUACUUGAACAAAAAACUCAGGAGAGCCAGAAAAAGAAACAGCAGGAUGAUUCUGAUGAGUAUGAAGAUGAUGAAUCUGCAGCUUCAACUUCAUUUCAACCCCAGCAAGUUCAGCCACAGCAGGGGUACAUUCCCCCAAUGGCACAGCCAGGUUUGCCUCCUGUGCCAGGUGCACCAGGGAUGCCUCCAGGUAUACCCCCCUUAAUGGCAGGUGUUCCACCUAUGAUGCCUGGAAUGCCUCCAGUUAUGCCUGGAAUGCCACCUGGAUUACAUCAACAGAGAAAAUACAUGCAGUCAUUUUGUGGUGGAAACAUGAUGAUGCCAAUGGGUGGAAUGAUGCCUCCUGGGCCAGGAAUCCCACCUCUUAUGCCUGGUAUGCCACCAGGUAGGUCAGGGUUGUCGAACUCAUACUAUGGGAUGCCCCCUCCUGUUGGGCCUCGGCCUGGCAUGCCUCCAAUGACACAAGCACAGCCUGUUACAGCCCCAGGCAUUCUGAACCGGCCUCCAGCUCCUGCUGCAACAGCACCGACCCCACAACCUCCAGUUACUAAACCACUCUUCCCAAGCGCGGGGCAGAUGGGGACACCUGUCACAAGCUCAAGUGCAGCUUCCUCCAAUUCAGAAAGUCUCUCAGCAUCUUCUAACGCUCUGUUUCCUAGCACAGCACAAGCUGCAGCAGCUGUGCCAGGGCCAGUUGGUACUGAUUUCAAACCUUUGAAUUCUACACCCGCGACAACAACGGAACCCCCCAAACCAACAUUCCCGGCUUACACGCAGUCUACGGCCUCAACCACUAGCACGACAAACAGCACUGCAGCUAAACCAGCUACAUCUAUCACAAGUAAGCCUGCUACCCUCACAACAACCAGCGCAACCAGUAAGUUGAUCCAUCCAGAUGAGGAUAUAUCACUGGAAGAGAGAAGGGCACAGUUGCCUAAAUACCAGCGCAAUCUUCCUCGACCAGGCCAGGCUGCCCUGGGUAAUCCACCGGUUGGACCAAUUGGAGGUAUGAUGCCACCACAGCCAGGAAUUCCUCCACAACAACAAGGAAUGAGACCUCCCAUGCCACCUCAUGGUCAGUAUGGUGCUCAUCACCAGGGCAUGCCAGGAUAUCUUCCUGGAGCAAUGCCUCCAUACGGUCAGGGACCUCCGAUGGUGCCCCCGUACCAGAGUGGACCUCCUCGCCCCCCGAUGGGAAUGAGACCGCCCGUCAUGUCGCAAGGUGGCCGCUACUGAUGCUCCUACUCGCGCUCUAAUAGGUUUUUAGAAGUGAAGUAUAGUAAAUAUGGUUCGUUAAAUUGUGAAGGCGCUGGAAUUACAUGAACAUACCACCUUAAAGCCCUGCCAUAGGACAGGCUGAGGCAGAGUCUCAGUGUUGCCCUGUUCAGUCUGAGGCAAGUGGGAUUUAUUUUAUUCAUUCUGGGGGCUUUCACAGCUUUAUGGCUGUUGGAUAUUUAUGUCCCCAAACUUGCAGCAAGUUUGGUGAAGGCCCCUAAAUUUAUUUUAAUUUAGGUUUUUUAUUCUCUUUUGGUAGAUGGGCUCUAUAUUAAUAUUUAUCUUUUUAUUAUCACUGUGUUUUUAAGAGUCUUAAGGGGAGGGAAGAUGUUUUAAGAUGUGUGGGUACCUUUUCUCUUAAUGGAAUGCAUUUCCUUCAAGGCUGCUCAGGUAGUCCUUAAGACACACUUCCCCUCCCCAUCUUUCCCUGCAUUGCAUUGCAUUUGUGCUGUAUUUGUUUUUGGGUUUGGUAGUGUUCAUUUUGUGUAGUCUCUGAAUUAGUGGCAUGUAAAUACCAAUUAUCAGUGUUUUCUGAGGAUAUGUAUCUAUUGAAAACCUGAAAGUAGAUUUGAAACUAGUAAGUUAAUUGCUACAAAAAAUUUGUAGCCCAAAUUACAGAAUACAGUUUGUUUGAAGAAGGUUAAGGUGUUAAUACUGCUGUGUUUGUGAGCUGCACCUCAACAAAUAUUAAUGUAGAGCCCUGUGAAGAAAUACAGAUCAGGUCCAAGUUGGUAACACAGAACAGAAGAGUGAGAAAUCAAAGCUGCAGAUUUUUCAGCUUGCCAUUUUCAGAGAGAACCUUUUCCUCAAUCUCUUUUUCUUCAGUUCAGGGAGAACUUUUUCCUCCAUCUCAAAUACAUCAAAUUAGAAAAUGUUUUGACUAUUGCAACAAUAGUAAGAGUUGAAAAACUUCUCUUUUAAACCUUGUGAGAUUCUGUUGCAUAUUCAGAAUUAACUUUAUUUGAAGUUCCUUCUUUCACGUGGUGCCUAGCAAAAAUUUCUACCUUUUGUGAAGAAAAAGGUGCUCAUUCUGUUGCAGAUACAUUGUUUGUGAAUGCUUGAGGCUGCUUAAAGAAAGCUUUAGAACAUCAGGUUUUGCCUAAGGAGGUCUUGCAGCAUACCAGCAGUGAAAUAGUAAAGAAACAAAUGUGGGAGUCUGGUUUGACUUUUUUUUUCAAGUUUUUGAGAUAUUUUUAAAGUUUGUGAUGAGGCUUUUUUAUGAGCAUAGUUGUUUAUUUCUUCAAGAUUUUGCUUAAUAAUGACCCUUAAUGAGAUUUCAAGUAAUUUGAAUUCAGGGAUAGAGUUGUAAUUAACUUAGAGUGGAUUGCACAUUCUGUUGUACCCUUCUUUGUUUGUACUCUGCCCUUUGCAUUUUUCCUGUAGACGGCCCCCCCCCCCCCGCAAAUCCUUGUCUGACUGGAAGAUUGACAUGUCCUUGUUAACUGUUUCAGAAUGGUUAUUGAGCAUGGUCUUGCUUUGCUAAUUCUCAUUGUGGUGCUCCCCCUGAUAACAGUGAAGAUGAGAACAACUCUUCAAGAUAAACUACUGCAACUAGUACUUCUUUCACUUGCUUAAUUUAUAGGACCAUUUGGCUUAGGUUUUUUUUCCCUAGAAUGUCUAAGGAAACUGUUUAACUGAAAAUAAUACAUUGUGGGGCUUGUACUUCUUGCUUAAAGUAUCUGAAUCUCUUAGUCUCAAAAUAAAAAAUAGGCGAAUUUCAAAUGCCUGUUUAUUUUGAGGGAUGAAGUGUGUUCUUAGUUACAUUCCAGUAUUGCAGCUCUCAUUGCAGCAGUUUGUGUAUCACAAAGUUGGACAUCUUGCUGUUAGUGAAAUUUCUUUACUAAAGGUGGCAGUAUUUCAGUGACAUGACUUUUAUCGAUAUUAACAAAAUGAGUUCUUGGAAUUCAGGUUUUUUUAAGCUUAAGAAAGGGGCACAUAACUUUUUUUAAGGAGCAGGGUUUACUGGUACUCUGCUAAAUUGGGUAAAUUUGCACCUGAUCUAUUAAACAAGAAAAGUAACUUGGAGAUGUGGUAAAUAAAGUACAUACCACACAUGAAGAACUUCAAAAAAAUAUGUAUGCUUGCAAUCAAAAUAAUCAGACCAGGGAACCAGUGGUAGUGACUGGGUUCUGUAAGAAUGCAGCUGCCUGUGACUGCUGUUCUGUCUGUCAUGGUUGGGCUAAGUUGGAAGUAGUUCAGAGAAAAGCAGGUUUUGGGACAGCCAUUUAAGGGAUCAAGAGGAAUCAAAGUCUUUGUAAAGUGUAACGCAUAUAAAAGUUCUUUCUGAAGUUCUGAAAAACACUUGGUGAGAGGUUUCUGGCACACUGUAAGCAGCAACUUAGUGCAGUCUUGAUUGCCAGAGCACAGAUUCCCAGUAAGGCUCUGUUAAAGGAAAUGCAGUUCUACUGCACUGUUGUGAAGGUGUGGCUGAGGGGACUGAGCACUGGAGCCUGCUGCUCUGGCAGCCAGCCACAUCCUGUCCUGAACCACAGGAUCCAGGGUGUUACCCUCUAGCCAUUUGUUCCUGGCAUCCUGCUGAGUCAGUUCUGACUGUCCCUGGUACAAAUAAUUGUCAGGCUUGGUACUUAAAUACCUGGGCAUAUACCUGGACGCUGUUGUGAAUAGUGAGGCCCUUGUAUCUUCUGAAGAAGUUUAUAAAACCUCCAAAGUUCUUGCAGGCUUUCUUGCAGUAGGGACAGUCAGCAGCACUGCUGUUUUAAUGGCAGUGAAUUUGACUUCUGCAGGAAGGUUUUUCUUCCUUGAGGAUAAAAAGAAGUGAAAAAGUUUUGAGGAAAUAGUAGAAUUUUAAUGCCAAUAUCAUCUUAACUAAAAGCAAAGAAGCACAUGACAUUGAGAGCUUGAAAGCUUCCUUAUAAAGUCUCUUGUUAGCAGUUAAAAGUGUGUCUGUCUGACAGCUAACUGCCUUAUACAAGGUUCACGCUUCUGACAUCUUAAACUUUUUUCCCUUAAAUUUUGUUUUAAAUCUCUACCAUAUUCAGAAAGGGGGCAUAGGUUGUAGAAUUUCAGCUUCUGCUGCUCUUAAUGUAGAACUGGUUUUUGCUAACAGCGAUUUUACUUACCUGAAAUGAAUGCAGUACAACCAAAGGAAACUAUUUCACCAUUUUCCAACUUAGGAAGUUAAUGUAAUGCUUUGAGAUAAAGAUGUCAUGCAGAGCUUUUUUUUUUUUUUCCUCUUUUUUUCAUUGAGUUACUUGGACUGAAUUCUCUAGCUUCUUUCUCAUAAACUUAAGUGGGAAAAAAUAUAUUUUGCUCUUUCACUUGUAAAGUCCAGAAUAAGAAAACACACUUUAGGACUUUAAUGAAGGAACCUGGCAAUGUAAGUAUUGUAAUUUCCUUUAUGUUUUUAGUAGGCAACAGGUGACCUUGUUAAACUUUACGGGUUAUGUGUGAAAAAUCACAAGGGCAAAUUGAAAGUAGUUUUAUAGUUGCCUUUACUUCACAUGCUUUUCUUAAGCAAGAAAUUACAGUAAUUGAAGUUUGGCAGCUUUUUUUUUUUUAAUAAAAAACUAAAUUAUGGGUAAAACACCUUGGUUUAAUACAAUUUGUGUUUCUGUUAACUAGCAGCAGAAUUUCAGCAUUUGCUACUUACUGGUAGAGAAGAAAAAUUCCACAGAACUGCCAGUACAGGUUAGUUUAAUCUGUAAGUACCUGAUGUUCCUAUUUGAAAUAAUUUGUUCAAAUGAUACCACUUUAAUACCUGAGGGGAAUUUUGGUCUCUGAAAUGUGAUUGUUACCUACUACUGAUUCCAGUAGUGAGUGAACAGACUAGAUUUUUUUGGAAGAUCUAUAAUGGAUUUAACUAUGCUUGUGGACAGGUAAAAAAUAUCUGCAAGCACCUUUAAGGAAAAUUUAUUACAGAAUCUUGACCAGCAGCCUUUGGUGUUACUGAAGAAUGUCAAAAUCACUGUGGUAACAUGCCAGUUAUUAAUGAGGCUGUUUUUUUACCAGCAAACCAGCAGGGUCCUGUGUUUGUUGUGUUGGGGAUUAAGCAUUUCUGUUUCUAAGAAUCCAUAGCAGUUUGUAAUCUUUCCAUUUUCUUUAGCUAUUGCUAAUUACCCUUUCUUACUCACAGAUUUUUACUUUGUUAGGCUGGUAAGCCAGGAGCUUGUUCUUCUGUGCUUUUUUAAUUACCUUUGUCAGUUCAUUUCAGCACUUCAUAGGCUACCUACAAACAUGGUUUUGUCCAACUGUUAAUCUUACAUCAGAGUUACUGCUCUGCCUCUAUUUUAAUUCUGCCCUAUUCCAUAUUCCCAGAAAUUCUGGUAUUUUAUUUCUAUUGUAUAGAACGUUUUAUACCUUAAAACAGGAAAGAUUCUUUGUGAAUGAAUAAAAGAUGCAGCUUUCUCUGGAAUGGCUGCACAUAUUUAUUUCUGUUUAGACUUUGUAUAUCUCAUCUCUGGAUAUCAGUAGAAGAGAUGAAAACUUUUUCUGUGCUGUAGCACGAAGCAGAGAUCCACAGCUGGAUGGGCUGUAAGAUUGUGCUUUAAUUCACUUUUAAGGCCAUGAUGUCCCUCUCUGAAUUUGAGGGGCUUUUGACAUCGCUGGUGGGUAAUUAGUCAGUACUGGGAAGGUCAUAGUUAUGUGGUAGCUGAACAGACUCUUCAGUUUUGGGGGCUCAUCUGAAUGGUCAAGAGUGGGUUUAUGAGUGACUUGCCACUUCCAGCAGAAUUGCUUGGUUUAGGGUCCCAAAAUCUUAAACAGUGCUGCAGAAUUCAUCAUAAAAACACGCACAGUUUCAAGGCAAUUGUAUCUUCCCAGGUUUUAAAAUAGUUACUCUUGCAGCCCAUUGCCUGUCAUCUUGUCUACAUUAGUUCUUGGUAAUUAACACUGAAUUGCUUUGUCUUCAAAAUGAGCUACAGGCAAAUUUCUGACUAAUGUUGCAUAGGUUUUUCUUCCUAGAAGGGGGAAAAAAAGGAAAUCAUACAUUAAUGUUUACAAUUUAGCUUUAUCUCUCUUUGCUUAAUCUUAAUUGCAGGUAUGCAAGAAUAAAAGGGAUACCUUGUUGUGAGGCCAUUACCCUGUUAACAGAAUGUGUUUGUAUUUCUUAUGCCAUCUGUGGUUGACCCUAGCUGAUGCUAGCAUUAAUGCAAUGCUCAGUACUGAGUUGGAGUGAGUAAAUGCUUUUGGCUGCUCAGUUACCUUAUCAAGUCCUGAUUUUGGCAGUGGCUGGAUGCAGACCUGCACUACUUGUACACCAGCCUGGCAGUCAGUGGGGAUAACUCAAGGGCAGAGUAUGUUCCAUAGUGUCUUAACAAAAAAAAAAAAAAAGUGCAUUUCUCCAGGAUAGAUUGUAGUAGAACUCUGGUAGAAAGACAUCUCAUUGUGAUACUUUAAAUGGCAGUUACUUAUGGUACUUCUGGUAGGAUAAAGUUUGUUUUCUUUUGAGAUAGGACCAAAACAAGACUGGAAAUUUGAACUUUGAUUACCAGGUAAACAGUGUUAAAUUGUAGCUCAACUUCUGACACGCCAUUAGAGCAACUGUCCAUUGUAAAGUAGUUCAGCAGUCUUCCCUCCCAGUUCUGGUACUGUGCAUUUGGAACAGUUUGUCGUUUCCCACUUUUUCCGUAGACUCUUUGCUGACUCCCAAUUGCCCUUUUAGUGUUUCUGGUCACUGUGCAGCAAACUCAAAAUGAGCAAACUCCAAGCUUGUUUUAGUACCUUCAUAAAGGACCUUGAAGCACAUGAGUGAAUAGUGUCCCCUCUCGGUAGCAGUAUGGCCACAAAAGUUAGUGUGUUGUGAAGGGCUUUUUUCUGUAACUUGAUACUGCUUUUGUGUUAAGUGGUAUGAAAGGGCUGGGAUUACUGAUCUUUUUCAAAAGACAGGUGGUGGCAAAAUACUGGUGUUGAAUUUAAUUCAAGAAAGUGAGAGACUGGUAAGUAUAUGCAUCACUUUAAUGCAUGCAAAUAAUAGUAACAAUAACAAGCUUAAUUUUAUAGCGUUCACUUUACAAAGAAGAUUAAAAGAAAAUAUGGAGCUGACAUCAUUUGCAUCCACUGGGAACCUUCUCUGAACUGUUCUUCAGGAAUGGGUCAUUGCACAUACAGCCAUCUGUAAUGUGUGGCAUUUUGUAACAGUCUCUUAUUAAACAGAAGAGAAUCA